rnacentral:tRNA from 84 species
GCCGGGAUAGCUCAGUUGGUAGAGCAGGGGACUGAAAAUCC